GUCAAAGCAUUUAUUAGAUUAAACCAUCUACUACUUUGUAGUAAGACGAAUCUAGAUAACUUUGCUGAUCGUAUGGCCUCGUGCCGGCGACGUUUCAAUUGAGUUUCUGCCCUAUUAACUUGUUGGUAAGGUAUUGGCUUACCAAGGUUGCAAUGGGUAACGGGGAAUCAGGGUUCGAUUCCGGAGAUGGAGCCUGAGAAACGGCUACAACAUCCAAGGAAGGCAACAGGCGCGCAAAUUACCCAAUCUAGACAGUAGGAGGUGGUGAAGAGAAUUACUAAGUGGUGGAUCAAUGAUCUACCAACUUGGAAUGGACGUAACUUAAGAAAUUCGUUGAUAAACAACUGGAGGGCAAGUCCUGGUGCCAGCAGCCGCGGUAAUUCCAGCUCCAGUAGUUUGCUUUAAAGUUGUUGCGUUUAAAACGCUCGUAGUUGGAUCAUGCAACAGUGUUCGGUAGUCUUUUCAUACGUCUAGAAUUUUCGUGGUGCUCAUCGAAAGACGACUCCCGAUCUCUAGACGUUGAUAGAUCUAAAAGCCGACCACUGUUAAUUGCACGUGAGAUGGAUUGUUGACCUUUAGUGAGUCGGUAAUCCUGUCUUGCGGAGUGUGCCUUGAAUAAAACAGAGUGCUUAAAGCAGGUUUACGCCUGAAUGUUAUAGCAUGGAACGAACAAUAGUGUAUACGUGCACGUUCUUUGAUAGCGUUAGACUUAUGGUUUGGCGUUGUUGGAGGCGUGUACAUCACCCACCAAAAUAUGGCUGUUGGUUCCAUAUACGGUGAUGAUUAAAAGGAGCGGUUGGAGGCAUCGGUAUUUGGCAGC
rnacentral:rRNA from 1 species